rnacentral:lncRNA from 10 species
CCCCUCACUCUUCCUGCCUCUAACCGAAAAGGAGGAUACAGACCAAGGAGCACUUCAUGAAGGAAAACCAAGGCCCAAGUCAUACAGCUAGUAAAAGGAGGAGCCACAAUUCAAACCAGGACUGAUUUCAAAAUUCGCAUUCCUUCCACUAUGCCAUGGAAAGUACAGUAGGGUGUUUUUAUGUCAACUGCAGCCAGACACAUCAAUUUUCUCCUCUGAGAGGACAGGAUAUAAAUCUGAAGAAACAAUGUAUAUGAAAAUAUGCUCUAUGCUAUAAGGCAAGAUUUAUAUGUAAGUCAGACAUAGCAGCACCAAGAGACAAAACAGACAGUGUUCACUAGGACGAACAAGCGGCUCAAAAGGCACUGGAGUUUCCCUGUAAGAACUACAAACACCACGGGAGUGAUGUUAACUCAGAUUUUUCCAUAUAAAAGAUUCUUCCUGUAAAAA